UACAGAGGUGGCAAACGUUGUCCGGAUUUAUUGGGUGUAAAGGGCAUGUAGGUGGUCCUAUAAGUCAAAGGUGAAAUCUCCAGGCUCAACCUGGAAACUGCAUUGGAAACUACCUUGCUUGAGGGCUUGAGGGGGGAUUGGAAUACUUGGUGUAGCAGUGAAAUGCGUAGAUAUCAAGUGGAACACCAGUGGCGAAGGCGAAUCCCUGGAAAAUACCUGACACUGAGGCACGAAAGCUAGGGGAGCAAACAGG
rnacentral:rRNA from 1 species